rnacentral:rRNA from 1 species
AAUCGAUAAUCCUCGAUAUACCUCACCAUUUUUUGCCUUUCAGCCUGUAUACCUCCGUCGCAAGCUUACCAUUUGAAUGCCUUAAAGUAAGCCCAAUUGGACCCAGUACGCCAACACGUCAGGUCAAGGUGCAGCCCAUAAAAUGGAAAGAAAUGGGCUACAAUUUCUAAUAUAGAACAAACGAAAAACUACAUGAAACAUAGUCAUGAAGGCGGAUUUAGUAGUAAAAGAAGAGCAGCAAGCUUCUUUUAACAAGGCUCUGGGACGUGUACAAACCGCCCGUCACCCUCUUCAACAGCACUCUCUCAGCUUAAUAACACACAUUUCGCACCUUAGAAGAGGCAAGUCGUAACAUGGUAAGUGUACUGGAAAGUGCACUUGGUAAACAAAGUAUAGCUUAACUAAAGCCUUCCGCUUACACCGAAAAAACAUCUGUGAAACCCAGAUUACUUUGACUACUAUAAACCUAGCC